rnacentral:rRNA from 1 species
GAGCGCCCGUAGCAAUACGGGAGCGGCAGACGGGAGAGUAACACGUGGGAACGUGCCCUUCAGUUCGGAACAACCCAGGGAAACUUGGGCUAAUACCGGAUACGUCCGUAAGGAGAAAGAUUUAUCGCUGAAGGAUCGGCCCGCGUCUGAUUAGCUAGUUGGUGGGGUAAUGGCCCACCAAGGCGACGAUCAGUAGCUGGUCUGAGAGGAUGAUCAGCCUCACUGGGACUGAGACACGGCCCAGACUCCUACGGGAGGCAGCAGUGGGGAAUAUUGGACAAUGGGCGCAAGCCUGAUCCAGCCAUGCCGCGUGGGUGAUGAAGGCCCUAGGGUUGUAAAGCCCUUUCGGCGGGGAAGAUAAUGACGGUACCCGCAGAAGAAGCCCCGGCUAACUUCGUG